CCUCGUCCCAAAUCCAUCACACCUCUGUUUCUGAUUUAGACUCAGAUCUCCCUCUGAACCCAGGUCUCCCCAAAAGCUUCCUCCUGGAUCCUCACAGAAUCCUAGGAAAGGAAGGGACCCCAUAAACCCCCUUAUUCCAGGGGCCAGCCAUCUCCAUCCCACCUCCUCCAAAUUCCUAGGCUCUUUGAUUUAGAGCUGAGAAAAUGCUUAGAGAUCAUCUAUUCUAACUUAUGCACAAAGCCAUUGGUCUAAAGUUUUAAAAAGAGUCCUAAGAACUAGCCCAUGACUCGAGGGUCCCACUCUCCAAAUGUGGAGCUCACUGAGAAGCACCCCCAUUUGUGCACAGGGUAAACUAUGAACCUGGCCUUAGCCCCCAACCCCAAAUCUGCUUAGUGCCAAACCCAACCUGGGCUUCGAAAGCCAAGGAUGCCAUUUACACAGCCCGGAGAGAAUUAUGGACCUGGCAAAUAGCAGGUUCUUCGUCAUCUAGCCCAGACCAGGCCUAGGUCCCAGCCAUUUCUCAUUGCUAGCCCCAGGGUACAGUAGAGCACAGCAGAAAGCACCGUGGCUUGAAACCAGAAGACUCGGGUAUCUAUUCUGGUCUUGCCAGUCACUAGUUGGGCAUCCUCUGGGCUCCAUCAUCCCUGGAAAAUGAAAGACUUGGAUUCUUCCAGUUGUGACAGUCAUGAAAAGACCCUAGAGACCACCAGAGGCUGCCUUCCUUCCUGUUUACAGAUGGGGAAACUGAGGUUCAAACAGAGCCACAGACUUUCCCAGGGAAGAGUUAGACUCUCAGCCUUUUGGCUCCAUUUCCCCAGCCUCAGGCUGUGUCUCCUCUCCUCUCCUCUGGGACCUCCUCUCAAUCUCCUGAUGUCUAACAGGUUUCCAUAGAUUAUCUAGACCUUCUGCCUCUUGACCUCAGAUCUAACUGUAAUGAACCUGAAUCCCAAUCCUCCAGGACAGGCCUGGAAUCCAAACUUGUGCCCAAAUCUCUUCUCCAUCCGGCCCAGACCUCCACCAUCCAAAGCCCCAGACUCACCUCCCCUCUCUUGCUUUGUCCUCAGGAGUCGUCAUCCCCAUCUUCUUCAUGGCUCUCCUGUCCUCCUCAGCUUUUCCAGUGACACCCACAGACUCCAAGGUGAUCGUGUGCAAGUCCUGGUUCCUGUGUGGGGCCGUGGCCUACAACCCUGAGGAGAAUCAGUGCUGUGAGGGCAACAGGGUCCAGCCCUUGUCCCUGCGCUGUGGGCCUGAGCUCACCUUUGAUCCCUGCUCCCAGCGUUGCUGUGGGAUUGAACGGUUCAUUGUGGCUAAGAAGGAGGCUGACUGUGCAGAGUAUGAGCUUUGAUUAAGAGCUGAUGUCAGGUAAGGAUGCUCCCUCUCUCUCUAACCCCUUGUAUCUCUUGCCUCCCCUCACAGAACACUAAGGAGCCCGGGGCCAGUUGGUUGGGGGACAUAACUGAAUCCCAAUCCCCUGUGGUCAUAUGUGACUACAUAGAACAUCUGGCAGAGAAUCCUAGAGCCUGGGUUCCAGACCCACUGACUCCCUAUGGG
ensembl:lncRNA